rnacentral:rRNA from 1 species
CAUUACUGAAGACCAUGGGGUUUAUGAGACUGUGUCUUAAUGACAUGUGCUCGACUCCUACUCUUUAUCCACACACACCUGUGCACCAUGGGGACGAAAGUCCCCCAUUUCACAAACACCAAAGUUAUAUGCAUGUCUUAUUACUACUCUACGGAGUAACAUAAUAACAACUUUCAACAACGGAUCUCUUGGCUUUCGCAUCGAUGAAGAACGCAGCGAAUGUGCGAAACGUAAUGUGAAUUGCAGAAUUCAGUGAAUCAUCGAAUCUUUGAACGCAUCUUGCGCUCCUUGGUAUUCCGAGGAGCAUGCCUGUUUGAGUGUCGUGAACUACUCUCAACUUCAAUCUUUUUGUUUGAAGUUGGACUUGGGUGUUGUCAUGGAUCACCAUGACUCGUCCUAAAUGCAUUAGCGAUCUGGCUUGAUCACACGCAAUGUGAUAAGAAAAGCAUUGUUAUAAUUGAGUCAAGACCGCUUCUAACUGUCGCAAGACAAAAGUCAUUUUCAUGUCAUUUGACCUCAAAUCAGGUAGGACUACCCGCUGAACUUAAGCAUAUCAAUA